UUCUGAAUCCCACAUGCUCCUUUAAAAAACUGUGGUGUCUCUUUAAGAGCCAUUUGGUGCAUUUCCUAGCCUGAUUCAUGUCACCAGCUGCCUCUGAUUUCAGUGAGAAAUGCAGAAUUUAUAGGGAACUGUAAAAUGGGGACAGGUUUCUAGUUUUCUAAAUUGAGGUUUAACUGGCAAAGUUCUGAAGGCUCAAGAAACCACAAGCGAGGCUGUGGGGGGAACUGUUGUCUUUUCCGGUCAGAAAAAAAUAUAUAAACACACAAACACAUUAUCUAACUCUCAAAGUGUUGGGAGAAAGAAAUCACUGCUCUUUGCCGAGUAGCAAAAGGAAGAAUCAGCCUUGUGGGCAGGAGGAGGAGGAUCGCAUUGGCCAGUAGGCAGCACCCUGCGCUGGCAGAGAGAGAAAUCUGAGCCUCAGCCUCUCCAGGAGCAGGCUUUGCACAAACUAUCUGGUUUCAAGUUGCGACUCUCCGGAGUCCCUGGGAAGGUGCCCCAGGGACAGGGCCCCCAGGAUUGAUGAGACUCCCCCAUCCCCAGCCGCCCAGAGGAUAAGCAGGUGCCAUUGGAAGCCAGAAGAAGCCAUCAGAUCUACUGAUGCUGGAGCUACAGGUAGUCAUGAAUUGCCUGAUGUGGAUUCUGGGACGGAACUCCAGUUCUCCACAAAAGCAUCGAUUAUGUUUCUGCCUUGGAGCUUCUGGCAAGCUGUUGAAGGAGGUACCUAUAACUACCAUGUUUCUGGACCCUACGAGGAGAUGUUCAUAAUGCUUCACACAUUCCACAGUUCUUCACAGCCUGUGAACCGUCAUGCCACUAAAAGAAUGUCCACAUGAAUACUGUUGGGGGAAGUAACCACGUGAAGACUUUAGAAAAAGACCCCCUUGGGCCCAGAAAAUAUCCUGAAGACCUCAAGAGCUUUCUGUGGCUGGUGGCCUGUAUCUUCAUGUUGGCAGUUGCUGGCAUUCAUGAUAAAAUAUCUCCACGAAUGAACCAUGUCUCUGCUAUUGUUGUGGUUGAAAUCUUAACUGUGAAAUCUGGACCCCUUUGAGGGUGACUCCGGUUAAAGGGACAUUUGACCCCAAAAGGGAUUACAGUCUUCAGGUUGCCUUGGAAAGACUCCCUUGGACUCAGUCCAGUCCCAGCUGGUCCAUUACCAGACAGCAAGCAAGAGCAAAGGACACAGUGUCUGAGGGUGGUGUCUGUCAGAGCACUACAGCCUCCAGCAAGAAGUGGGAGAGGUCCUGAGCUACCAGCUCUGCCAUGCUGGCUGGCAGGACCUGGGAGAGGUGGAAACAACUUGGGGCUGCAGAGGAGCUGAGAGGUGCAGAGGAAAAUGGGGUCACCAGGUGAACACCAGGCUUGCUUUUUGUUCAGCUUUGGGAACCCCUGUGAAAGGGUCAGUCAACACCCCUAGGGGGCGCAACCCGCAGGUUGAGAACCACUGCUCUACAGUACUUCUCCCACCUGGAUGGUGAGUACCCUCUGCUCCCUGGCUUUUGUCCCAGACAUCCUGAAGGUGCCUGAGUGUCUAAGCCUGUCCAGUCAGGCUUUCUUUUGUUCAUGCCUCACUUAACCAUAUCUAGUUGCACCUCACUUAACUGUAUUGUUGGCUCUGCUUUUGUGUUUUUUCAGAGUGCCUCUUCUUUACGUGUUUGCUUCCUUUCUUCUUCUGCUCCUACCUCUUCCGUGUCCCAUCUACGCCACACCGUUUCUGCCCGUCUCUCUUCAUCACUUCCUUCAGAGGUUCUUCAGUGCGGCUCAGGAACCACCCAGAUAGCUUGCUACCCAUUGAACUGACAGGGCAGAGAUCUGCACCGUGGAUGGCCUCUCCUGGGAUUCCAUGCCAUUUCCUGGGACACCCUCUGCUGGAUCUCUCGAGACUCAUGUCGUCCCUAGACAUCAUGGCAUACAUAGCCUGUUGUGAUUUGGCCCUUGUGCAGUUCUUAGACUGGCUCUCAGAGUGCUUUACAACCCUGAGAUCCACCCUAAACACACACACACACACACACACACACACACACACACAGGCUUACACUUCUGGGCAUGGCAGUUCCUUUUCACCAAAAUGCUUUACACUAAAGCCCUUGUAAACUCAACUUUAUAUGGUGACACAUGCUUAUAACCCCAGCACUUGGUAGGCUAAGUUGGGGAGAAAUGCCAUUGUUUCAGUCCAACCUAGACUGAGACCUUACCAGUGAGGCCUUACCUCAAUACACCAAAAACUAGAAAGCAAGUAAAGGGUGAGACCAACACCCCCAAAGGCAUCAUCUUCAAAUCUUGGACGCUAUAUUGAGCUUUACAGCUUGAGUUCAAAGCUUUUAAGGUGCCCCUGUGUAAGCCACACCUUCAGCUCUGUGGUUAUCGAGGUACUUGCUGGGCUUAGGUCUGAGUGUGAGCUCAGCAUACAGGACCACAGCCUGCUCUACCCAGGAUCCAGAAAACAGUCAGACAGUUGGUCGUGCAGACAGACAUGACGGGACACUGUUGGCUUCGAUCUGGGCUGCGCUGUUCUGUAGAUGAGAUGAUCUCUCACAUAUGCAGGGGUGCCAAAGCGCGAGCCCUGAAUAUAGUGUGUGAGCAGGGCUUUCAGGAGACUAGAAAGUCAAGAUUAUUACUUUGAGUAAAGGAGGCUGCUGAGAGGGAAAUUCCCAGUGGCAGCAGAGAAGUCACCCUUGUCCCAUCUCUACUUUACUCUGUCAGGGAGAAGGUAAAGUAUGGGGAGUCACGGGGAGGCACUGCAUAGAACUGGAGAGAGCUGGGCAGUGAGAAAGGAGGUCUGACCCUGUCUCUGUCACCAUUUUAAAAGAUUACAAAGUCUCUGGGCGUCAACACACGGGCUAGCAGAAAUGAGUGGGGUUAAAAGUAAUUUAAGAAAGAACUGGCACAAACCUGUUGUGAAGGGUGCAGUGACAUAUACUGGCCACCAGGUGACACUAGAGGAUUUUCUUCGGCACAAAGCAGGGCUUGUCUAUGCGCUCCCAAGUGCCUCGGGUGUAGCACCUAAUCUCUAAAGAAGGCAAUUCAGAGAUUUCGAGAAAAAUACUAAUUUUGGAGGAUGCAAUGAAACUAAUCAUUAGUUGUCUUUGAAUAUGCAAAUUUUAAAAUCAGCCCCUUCCACACUUUCAAAGGGUUUAGAGGUUGUCUCUGUACUUCUCCCAGCGGUUUUGGUUCAGACCUCAAAUCCGGACAUAGGCAAGGAAAUGUUCUGAGCUGGUCCUAGUGGGAUCUCUUGCGUACCCCUUGUUCUAGAGGAUGGGUAUGGAUGGCAAGAAGCGGCAUGGUUUGGUACAAAUAAAUGCCCCCUCUUCCUGGGCUCAGAGCAAAGGUAGGACAUGGGAAAGGAAUUGUAGACUAUUGUCAGCCUGGGUUUGUGAACCCUCUCUGACAAUCCGGUGAAUGUCACAGACUCUCCCAUCCAGAAUGUUCUGUAUUACCAUGCUUUUUUAGUAGCUCCUGAGACACAUUGUGUAGCCACAUAUGAUUUCUCUCAGCUGUAAAUACCUAAUGUUUGACAGUCACACUGUGUGAUAGCUACGCGCCUCGGCAGCUUCCGCGUUUGUAACGAGAGUAGACUGCACUGUCUAAGGAGAAUCUGCGGAGGUGAAGAGUCCCACGGUUGCCUCGGUGGUACCCAGGAGGUCGUCGAUUUUAUUCGAGCAUUCCUAGGAGGCUGCCAGCCCUGAAAAGAUGCUGAAGCUUGAAGCUGUGCUGCAGCAGAAGCUACAGAGUCAUAAUCUUUAGCCAGCAGCUGCCUCGUGGAGUGGUACCCAGCCUGCACGGGAAGGGCGAAGCUUCUUGUCAGCUAUGCAACGCUGCCUGUCUUAUGAAUCCCUCUGCCAGGAUGCUCUAGGCACUGUGCCUGCUCCUCUCUGUUUCAUAUUGCUGCUCCAUACAUGCAUGCCUGAGGGAUUCCCUGCAUCCCAGAGCCAGAAUCAGUAUAGACCAAAGGACCUAGCAAUGACCUUAGAAAUAGGAGCCUCUGUUUGGUUCUGGCUGCCAUUUACUAAGCAUUGGACUGGCCUCAAGAAUGAAAUGGGAGUAACAACUCUUCUUUUUGUCUUAUUCAGUUUCUUAUUUUCCCUCCUCCCACCCCCCUUUCCUUUUGCUCCCACCCUGCUCGCUCCUGCCCUGCUCACUCCCACCCAUAGGUUAUUUAUUUUAUUUAUUUAUUUAUGUAUUUAUU